rnacentral:rRNA from 1 species
GUAGGUGGCAAGCGUUGUCCGGAAUUAUUGGGCGUAAAGCGCGCGCAGGGCGGUCCUUUAAGUCUGAUGUGAAAGCCCACGGCUCAACCGUGGAGGGUCAUUGGAAACUGGGGGACUCGAGUACAGAAGAGGAAAGCGGAAUUCCAAGUGUAGCGGUGAAAUGCGUAGAGAUUUGGAGGAACACCAGUGGCGAAGGCGGCUUUCUGGUCUGUAACUGACGCUGAGGCGCGAAAGCGUGGGGAGCAAACAGGAUUAGAUACCCUGGUAGUCCACGCCGUAAACGAUGAGUGCUAAGUGUUAGGGGGUUUCCGCCCCUUAGUGCUGCAGCUAACGCAUUAAGCACUCCGCCUGGGGAGUACGGCCGCAAGGCUG